UCAGAGAUACCCCUAUAGGCACCUAGGGCAGAGGACCAUAAAGAAGCAAUAGAAAAAAGAUCCUAUCUUGCAAGAAAGCCAAAGAUACAUAGUUAUCUGUAAAAAGUUGAGCAUUAAUCUUAGCCUAGAACCCCCAAAAUAACACACAAAAUACUAGCGAUUGAGCAUAAUAGCAAAACACAAGUCUAAUAUGUAGCACCUGUCAUGUAUUUUAGUAAUUGCAAGCUAACGUGGCCGAGGAUAAUUACCAUAUAUCUUUGAGAGAAUUAAUAAGAGGAUAAUUUCAAAAAAUGAGUACAUGAGUAUAUAUUUUC
rnacentral:lncRNA from 1 species